rnacentral:lncRNA from 1 species
UGGUGUUGAGAUUCCACACUGCCCUUGGUUACGAUUUUUUUUUUUGCUGGUAAUGAUACAACAUGCUAUUAACUGUUACCAUUUUUGAAUGACAGAUGAGGGUAGCUCUACAGAAUAGCCUCAGUAGAGAAGUUACGUUGUUAUGUUGUUGUACUCUGCUAUCCUGAGUUAGGAUUGGCCUUUGAUUUUUAGGUAUAUGUGUCACCAUAGUUACAUGAAUGUGACUCUUUUCACUUUCAGACUAAGUGGAAGAUGCCUUUCCAGAAGUCAUUUGCUGCUUAUGGUUUAAGAUUAUUUAAUGAAAUUGUGAGAUACAGGCUGGUGAAAUAAUUAGAUGGCUGGAGUUUGAUGUUAGAUUACAACCUUUUAAAUCUUAUAAUGUUAAGGAGUAAUUGAGGUAUAGGGGAUUUUUUUCCUUUGGUUUGCUGCUUUGUUGGUCCUCUGUACCAUCAGAAUUUUGGGCAGGGAAGCUGCUGUGCAGCUGCUUUGUGUCUUGCCCCGAGGGUGUAACUGUUUGGGAUCUCUCAAAAUCUCUGCAGUGAGAAAGAAAGAAUGGGUAUGUUUAGUACGGAAUGAGUUGUUACCUUUAUUUCAGGUAGGUGAUGUGUAGCAUAGUGUACUCAAUACAGAAAUAGCCACAAAUUUCCUUAAAGCAGCACACACAGCAGCUGACUGCAGCUGAAAAGCUACUUGUAGAUGGUAAGAUGGUAGAGAAAGAGGGGUGGGCUUCUGGGUUGGUCGCCUUGUUUUUCAACUCGUUUGUAACUAAAUAACCUAUUUCAGUUCAGUCUCAUUUCUAAAUGAGCAGACUGGUCUUAACUCUAGACAGGCAGUACAGUCUCACCUAACGUGGGUCUUUGAGGAGCAAGAAGGUAGCAACUACGCUGCAAUAGAAUAGUUACCAUAAAUAUGGUAGUGGUGGCAUGUUAGUGCCCUAUAGCAGAGACUUACAGCUUACCUGAGAAGAGCAGGGAAAUGAUUUAAAAGGUUAUAGCUUUCCUGCUCUGUCUGUCCCUUUCUGCUAAAGGCACCAAGUCUGAAUUGCAAAUGGCAUCAAAACAUUCAGAUGUGGCCAUGUUUAGCUGAAGAUAAACAUCUGUACACUAAAUUACAAAGAGUGGCUUCAGAGUAAGAAUUUGUUGGCCCUUUUUUAUUGCCAAAUCAAGCUUUUAACAAUUUUAUAAAAACUUUUUAUGCUGUUGUGGGGCCUUUUGUGGGAGUAAUUCAGCACAAGCACUGACUACAAACACAAGCAGAGCUGUUACGUUUCUUGUUCAUAGUAACCCUGAAAAACUUAACCAACAUUCUUCUGUUCCUUUUUAUAAGAUCUUGGUUUGCAUCAGACCAGAGCGGAAUGCAUGUUUCCCAAUAAAAGAUGAGGGAUGCUUUAAGAAGGCUUCUCUUGGAUGUUUUCAAGGGCUUUGGGCUCCUUGAGGAUCAUGCACUAGAAGGUGCCCCUGGCUGUGGCAUGAGACGACACACUGAUCUUGCUGAACCACUUCACCUGUGUGUAGUGCUUCAUACUACACAAGUGUGCUGUUAUGACCCCAACAGAGACUUGCUAAAGCCAGAGCAUUUCUGAUACUCUCAAUCAGUUGGGAAUAGAACUAAGUUAAUUUAUUCCACAAGGCAGCCCAGCACCUUUUCUGAGUUACUAAGUGGAGAUUAGAGCCCCAGGAUGGAAAGAAAGAAGGACUUCGAGGGAAGCGUGGAGCAGCAGGUACAACCUUUUUGACACUUAACAAAUGUAGCCCCAUACUGUCCUAAUGCACGUGGAAGUGAAUGUGGCUCAUCUCAGUUCUAAGCUGAUUUCUGAGAAAAUCCAUCACAACUCAGAAUCAUGGAAUGGCACUUGGCCUUCGUACAGGGAAAACAGGGGGGUGGGGGACAGCUGAGGAAAGCACCUGUGCUGCAAACUCCUGACUUGGAUAUCUGGAAGUGGGUUUCACCCCUGUACCCUCUCGAGAUGUAGAGAGGACCUUUUGGCGUGAGGUCUGCUUUGCUCACUAAGCCCAAACUUUACACCAAGUUUUGUGAGCAGGAUGGCAGGGAGCUUGUGUGCCCAGCUCUAGUGUUCUGGGCUGUUGUUUUUUGGAGGUUACAGGUAGUGCAGGCAGUGCCGUGCUGCCUGCAGUCCCUCCUAACUGCUCUGUGCAGCUGACCACAUGGUAAGUAUCAGCAGUCCGAGUCACAGAUGGUAACAGUGGGUCAGAACUUAGUUUGAGUUAUGCAAACUGCUUACUAAUUUGCGUGUAGAAUAAAACGUUCAAAUAGCCUGCCAUGCAUAAAGUAUGUAUUUUUGCAGUACAGAGUUGUCAACAGAUGGCAGCAUCUGACUUUGAAUCAUUAGAGACUUUGAAGGUGAUCUCUAUAGCGAGAGGAAUCCGGAGAGGGCUUUGGUGUUGCUGCUGGU